rnacentral:lncRNA from 1 species
AUCUGCGCCUUGAGCCGGCUUCCUAGACGCUGGUUUGAGCGAGUGUCUUAACUCCCUUCGUGAAAAGCGUGGAAUCCAUUGAGCAGAAUCUGAUACAUCUGUGUCACAUUCUUCUUCACACUCCUGUGAUGACAUGCCGACAGGAUCCCUCAAUCCCUUUACAAAGAUGUCAAGUAAUCUCCCCAUUACAAAAACAAGAAGAAAACAUGUAUUUGGCAGGCACUUCCACAUCUCACUUCUUUAUUAAAGAGAAAACUCUGUUUCUAGACAAAGAGUCCAAAGUGGGGGGGGGAGGGGGGGAAGAAAGCUCUGAGCUCCUCAAAAGCUGGCAAAAAUAAAAAAUUUAAGCACAAAUUCUGGCAUCAUAUCUCAAAUAUUUGUUGAAGCUUUUUACACAGCGAACUAAGGUAAGAAUUAUUCUUACAGUUUAUAAUUUAUAGAUGAAACAGACUUGGAAUAGGGAUAUCAGAAUUAACAUUUAUAAACUACUUAGUAUGUGUCAGGCAGGUCCUGUGUUAGGUGAUAUUUAAUUUUAAAUAUUUUAGUUUUAUUUACAUUUCAUUUAAUUAGCAAAGUGAUCCUAGAAGACAGAUACAAUGUACCCCUUGUUACUGAUGAGAAACUAAAGAAUGUAGGCUAGAAAAUGACCAUGACGCCGGGCGCGGUGGCUGAUGCCUGUAAUACCAGCACUUUGGGAGGCCGAAGCGGGUGGACCGCCAGGUCAGAAGUUAGAGACCAGUCUGGCCAACAUAGUGAAACCCUGGCUCUACUAAAAAUACAAAAAUUAGCCGGGUGUGGUGGCGGGCACCUGUAAUCCCAGCUACUCGGGGGGCUGAGGCAGGAGAAUCACUUGAACCCGGGAGACGGAGGUUGCAGUGAGCCGAGACCGCGCCAUUGCACUACAGCCAGGCGGGGGGGCAGUGCCAGACUCCGUCUCAACAAAAAAAAGAAGAAAAAAAAUGACCAUGACUUGUAAUUAAACUCAAGGCACUUUCCAAUGUGAAAUCAGAUGCCCAACAACAAAAAUAUCGAAGUAAACCUACGAUAAAUUAGAAUAUGGAAAGGUUGCUUCUACAGUUUUAACAAAAUAUAUAGUUAUUACCUAUUAUAUUUGUCUGAAUGACAGGCAAAAAUCAGUGUUUUUGAAAAAAGAUUCAUUGGCCACAUCGAAGACGUUUCUUCCACACAUUAUCUUUUUCGUUCUCUUCUCUUUAUGAAACAUAUGCCAGGCCUAGAGAACUGUUAACAACCAAUAAUUGUUUCAGUAAUUUCAACUGGACAGUGAUAGGUAAUUUACAUGUACAUAUUUGUUUUCCACCCUACUGUGUAUAUAUAUAUAUACACACAUAUAUACAUAUAUGCACAUAUAUACAUAUAUACAUACAUAUAAAUAUAUAUACACAUAUAUAGAUACAUAUAAGUAUAUAUACACAUAUAAACAUACACAUUAUAUAUACAUAUAUG